GCUCAGUUAAUUGAGGAAUCAAAAGCAAGGAACUCACUAAGACUCCAUGAGUCCCCGUGGUACUAAGGGGAGGCACAGCAAUUUAAAAGAAGGAUCUUGAGACAGUUCGCUUCACUGUUGCAAACACCAAGAAGGAAGAACAAAGAGACAAGUCAAACAGACAUCUGGAAACCACUCUUUAUUUUGCGAAAAACACUUGAAAAAUAAAGAUGAAAGUCCUUCUAGGCUUUGGAAUAUAACCAUCACAAAGUGUGGAAUCACAAAAAGUCCAAUUUUAAAAGGUUUUCCCUUCCCCCACCCUCUUUUCAAUUCAUUCUUCCGUUGUGGAUCAAUCCGCAAUAGUUUUAA